rnacentral:miRNA from 1 species
GUCCCUUGGGGAGAAACUGUCGCA